rnacentral:rRNA from 1 species
GCAAGUCGAGGGGUAACAGAUGAUGAGCUUGUACAGAUUGCUGACAACGGCGCACGGGUGAGUAACACGUAUGCAACCUACCUUUUACAGAGGGAUAGCCCAGAGAAAUUUGGAUUAAUACCUCAUAAUAUUUUUACUCGCAUGGGUUUCAAAUUAAAUAUUCGGUGGUAAAAGAUGGGCAUGCGUUCUAUCAGUUUGUUGGUGAGGUAACGGCUCACCAAGACUACGAUAGAUAGGGGUUCUGAGAGGAUAGUC